GGGUACAUGGUCUAGUGGUAUGAUUUUCGCUUCGCAUUGAGCUUUCUCAAGCGCCCUGUGAAAGGUCCCCGGUUCGAUCCCGGGUGUAUCCA